AAGCUAUAUAUUUAGGUUUUAAUAUAUAAAUAUUUAAUUAAGCGUUUUUGUAUUUAUUUACCUAUAUCAGCCUGAUUUCAUCCACUGCUGGACAUGGAAGCUACGAUAUUUUCAUCGGCGAAUCCAAACGGCGAUGAAAAUAUAAUUGCACAAAUUUUGAAAAGUAAAGGAUUUAAGACUGCCCACGAUGAAGAUAAGGUUAAACUUUUCAUGAUUCACUUCGACGAACGCAGAAUAUAAAAGAAUGCAGGAAGAUACUCUAUUUGAAUAUCCUCAUGGAAGAUAUUUUCUUUUACGGAAGAUAGAUUAGUUCUACAAGAGGGAUAUGAAGAUGAUUGAAGAAAGUCUAUGAAGAUAAGAAAUUAUUGAGCAAAGUAGCUCCGUUAUUUUUCCGACCGGCCGACCGGCGGCGCGGCAGUGGCGAAGGGGCAUUGACGAUUUGGUAACGUCGUAUAAAACGUUGUUGAAAUGGUUGAGCACAACUGCAGUCGAAGAACGUCCUUAAAUAGUAAGAUCUAAGAAUAUGCUUUAUUUGAUAAAUAUCCUUAUGGAAAAUUUUCUUUUACGGAAUAUAUUAUAUUAGUGCUAUAAACGGGGUACGAAGGUGAUUGAAAAAAGCUUACAAUGAAGAUGAGGAUAAAUCUCUUACAGUUGAUCAAGAAAAACACACACACGCACGCACGCACGCACGCACGCACGCACGCACGCACGCGCGCGC